CAGAAAUGAUAAAUAUUGGGUUAUCUCCCAACAAGCGUUUUUAUUUAAUGCAUUUUAGGUAGGCAUGAUGAUUUUAACGAUGCUCACAUAAAAAUAGAAACUUAAACAUGCAAAAAAAAGCAUCAUGAAUCACAUGACAAUCACAUUUAAGUCUAACCCACUUCGUAUGCAUAGGAAUUUUGCAAGCAAACCAUUUAUUAUAGCACGAAUCAACUUGCAUCGGAAGGCAAAACAAACAUGACUUCGGAACUUUGAACACAUAGGAAAGAUACUUGAUAUUGUUGCAGUACCUACAAGCAUAUGUUCCUACCUCAUAAGAGCAACUCCAACGGGCGCGCUAUUUAAGAGGCAUGUGUUAUACUAAGUCCAGCAUGCAGACCAAAACGGCAUCGCGUGCGGUGUAUUUGUUGUGCUCGCUCCCGCGCGUUGGACCAUGACGACGCGCACAUCACUACCCCAGCCGCGAGAUCUCACCUCCACGCGCUCGCGCCACCGCCCGGAUAUUUCCCUUUUUGCUCUGAUGACCCGUCGGCGCUUCCUCCGCCUAUCCCCGCACAUUGCCGCUGCUUCCUCCACCUCCCUCAUUCACUUCCGCCCCUCGAGCGCACCAUCCUUCCGACGAACAGCGCUCGGCGUCCACAAGGGGUGUGACAAAACGCUUGCAAGAUGAGUUCGUCAUAUGAUUCUUCCGAUGAAGAAUUUCAUAUGCAAGAGGAGGAGGUCCUCACAAUAAUGAGAGCUAUGCACCUCAAUAAAAACCAAGGCACGGUGAUUCGAUUAUGAGUCGUCAGAAAUUGUGAAGGGAUAAGAUCGAUGCUCACAACAGAUUGAUGAGGAACUAUUUUCCGAGGAUGCCACAUAACCCGGGUCCUACUUUCGAUGACGUUUUAGGAUGAGCAUCGAGUUGUUCAAACGCAUUGCACAGAAACUUGCAAGCCAUGGUCGUAUUUUCAACAAAGGAGGAAUGCCGCCGAAGAACUCGGGCAUAGCACAUUUCAAAGGUGAAUGCCGCUUUGCGUAUGUUGGCAUGCGGUAUUCCGGUGGAUCUCGUUAAUAACCACUUGGCCAUGGGUGAGAGUCAAGCCAUCAUGUGUGUCAAGCACUUUGCAGUCGGAAUUGUGCAAGUGUUUGGUCCGGAAUAUUUGAGAGCUCCCAAUGUUGAAGACACCGCAAGGAUUUUGGAGAUGAAAAAAGCUCACGAGUUUCGAGGUAUGCUUGGCUCAAUAGAUUGCAUGCAUUGGAGUUAGAAGAAAUAUCCAAAGGCAUGGAUGGUCAAUUCCACGACUAAAAAAAGGUUCCACUAUAAUCCUUGAAGCAGUGGCCGAUCACGAGACUUGGAUUUAGCAUGCUUUUUUGGAAUGCCUCGAUCUUUGAAUGACAUCAAAGUUCUUAAUCGAUCACCACUCAUGAAUAAGAUUGUAAAUGAUGAAA